GUUGAAUCACCGGUUCCCAUACAAUCACUGAAGUUAAGCAACAUCGAGUCUAGUCAGCACCUAGAUGGGUGACUACUUAGGAAUACCAGGUUCCGUA